GACGAACGCUGGCGGCGUGCCUAACACAUGCAAGUCGAACGGGGUUAUUAAGAAUAGUUUACUAUUUUUAAUAACCUAGUGGCGAACGGGUGAGUAACGCGUGGGCAACCUACCCGCAAAUCUGGGAUAACUUCUCGAAAGGGGAGCUAAUACCGGAUGUGUUUAGGAAGUCGCAUGACUUUCUAAAUAAAGGUGGCGCAAGCUGCUGUUUGCGGAUGGGCCCGCGUCCCAUUAGCUAGUUGGUGAGAUAACAGCCCACCAAGGCGACGAUGGGUAGCCGGCCUGAGAGGGUGGCCGGCCACACUGGGACUGAGACACGGCCCAGACUCCUGCGGGAGGCAGCAGUGGGGAAUAUUCCGCAAUGGGGGAAACCCUGACGGAGCAACGCCGCGUGAGCGAAGAAGGCCUUUGGGUGUAAAGCUCUGUCUUCAGGGAAGAAACCUUAAGAGAGGAUAAUGCUCUUAAGCUGACGGUACCUGAGGAGGAAGCCCCGGCUAACUACGUGCCAGCAGCCGCGGUAAAGUACU
rnacentral:rRNA from 1 species